GGGGGUAUAGCUCAGUGAGCAUUCGACUGCAGAUCGAGAGGUCCCCGGUUCAAACCCGGAUGCUCCCU